UACAGAGGGUGCAAGCGUUGUUCGGAUUUAUUGGGCGUAAAGAGCACGUAGGCGGCUUGGCAAGUCGGAUGUGAAAGCCCAGGGCUCAACCCUGGAAGUGCAUCCGAAACUGCUUCGCUAGAGUUUCGGAGAGGGUAGUGGAAUUCCCAGUGUAGAGGUGAAAUUCGUAGAUAUUGGGAGGAACACCAGUGGCGAAGGCGACUGCCUGGACGAUGACUGACGCUGAGGUGCGAAAGCGUGGGGAGCAAACAGG
rnacentral:rRNA from 1 species